GAGCGCKYYCRGCUCGAAAGCUCUGUUGUUAAAGAAGAAAGGRAAGAAAUUAACUGUUCAUASGUUGACGGUAUUUAACCAGAAAGKCRCGGCUAACUACGUGCCAGCAGCCGCGGUAAUACGUAKGUGGCAAGCGUUAUCCGGAUUUAUUGGGCGUAAAGAGAGUGCAGGCGGUUUUCUAAGUCUGAUGUGAAAGCCUUCGGCUUAACCGGAGAAGUGCWUCGGAAACUGGAUAACUUGAGUGCAGAAGAGGGUAGUGGAACUCCAUGUGUAGC
rnacentral:rRNA from 1 species